ensembl:snRNA U6 U6 spliceosomal RNA
ACACUUAUUGCUAGCCUCACAAUAAGGACAAGACCAGUGCAAUAUCUGAGACUGGACAACCACAGCGAGGAGAGCAGCAUGGCCUUUGCUCAAGGAUGACAUGCAAAUUGAUGAGGUGCUCCAUAUUUUU